UACGUAGGGACCAAGCGUUGUUCGGAUUUACUGGGCGUAAAGGGCGCGUAGGCGGCUUGUCAAGUCACUUGUGAAAUCUCUGGGCUUAACCCAGAACGGCCAAGUGAAACUGUCAUGCUAGAGUGCGGAAGGGGCAACUGGAAUUCUUGGUGUAGCGGUGAAAUGCGUAGAUAUCAAGAGGAACACCUGCGGCGAAGGCGGGUUGCUGGGCCGACACUGACGCUGAGGCGCGAAAGCCAGGGGAGCGAACGGG
rnacentral:rRNA from 1 species